UACGGAGGGGCUAGCGUUGUUCGGAAUUACUGGGCGUAAAGCGCGCGUAGGCGGCUUUGUAAGUUAGAGGUGAAAGCCCGGAGCUCAACUCCGGAACUGCCUUUAAGACUGCAUCGCUAGAAUUGUGGAGAGGUGAGUGGAAUUCCGAGUGUAGAGGUGAAAUUCGUAGAUAUUUCGGAAGAACACCAGUGGCGAAGGCGACUCACUGGACACAUAUUGACGCUGAGGCGGCGAAAAGCGUGGGGAGCAAACAGG
rnacentral:rRNA from 1 species